UGGUUCCUGUGACCUGGUGUGCUGGAUACACUUUACUUGUUCUUUCAGACUCUCUCUCUACCUUGAUCUCUGUUCUGGAAGGCUGAGAAGCAGGGUCAAUAUCAACAGGCUCCUUUGCCCUUUGCCUGGCUAGACUACUCCAUCACAUCACAGCUCCCGGCAGACGGCCCUCUCUACACGGCUUUCUUUCACCUGGUCUAGCCUUGAGAGCAACAAGGAAGGUCUGUGUG
rnacentral:lncRNA from 1 species